rnacentral:rRNA from 1 species
AUUGAACGCUGGCGGCAGGCCUAACACAUGCAAGUCGAACGAGUGGCGGACGGGUGAGUAAUGUCUGGGAAACCGCCCGACGGAGGGGGAUAACUACUGGAAACGGUAGCUAAUACCGCAUACCAUCGGAUGUGCCCAGAUGGGAUAAGCUAGUAGGUGGGGAAACGGCUCACCUAGGCGACGAUCCCUAGCUGGUCUGAGAGGAUGAUCAGCAAAACGGGAACUGAGACACGGUCCAGACUCGUACGGGAGGCAGCAGUGGGGAAUAUUGCAAAAUGAGCGAAAGCCUGAUGCAGCCAUGCCGCGUGUAUGAAGAAGGCCUUCGGUUUGUAAAGUACUUUCAGCGAGGAGGCGUUACUCGAAGAAAAAGCACCGGCUAACUACGUGCCAGCAGCCGCGGUAAUUC